CCAAUUUCUAAGUUGUCAAGUUAUACGCAUUAACAUAAACUUGAAACGACUGUAUUUUGUAAGCAAUCGAGGUGAUAUGCGUGACCUUCGGUAUCCUGGAUUAAUAUAACUGUUCAUUAUAUUGUUGGCGGACAAGGAUUUGAGUUUAUAUUUUGUAAGGAAACAUCUUUAGUAUGCAAACGUUUUAGAAAUGACGGUCGUAUAUCUCAACCCUGCCUAUUGAAUUACAUGGAAACUAUAUACAUAUUUUUAAAUCUAUUUAAAAAUCUAUAGUAUAUUAGCAGGAAACUGGUUGCACUGCGCUGGGAACCAACAGAUAGAAUAGAAUUGUUUUUUGCACUCAAAAAAACAUUACUAGAUCAUUAAAAUAAAGUUUUAUAUGACAGAGAACGGUGCUGGGGAAUUGAAGCUGUAAGUAAAGUUUUCGAGUCAAUUCCCCAUAAGAACUAUAAACUAAUACUACAUAAGGUCAAUCAUAUUGAAUAUGUUCAUUUCGUUUUAACACGAUGUUCUCUUGCAAAGAGCACGACAGUAAGAACUAUAAACAUAACGUCAUAAAUAAUGAGAAUGUUGGCCAAUCCUCUGGGUAUUUGAGACGUCAUCGCCAGCAGGAAGAAAACUGGAAUGUUCCAUAUCACACGGUAAAACACGGAGGCAAUUGGAAAGGAACAUUUCGAGCGCCCGAGGCAAGAAUUUGUAAGACAGCAUGAACUGCCAUUGUUACGAAAUAGGAUCGCAACAGUCCCUCUGUAUGACUUCCUUGGAUAGUACUUGGAACAACACCGCUGGACAUUAAGAUUGAUGUCGCAGUAAAACUCAUGAAAAACUGAGCAAAGCCGAGAGCCUGGAAAAUCAUGUAGGGUGGUGGUUUUGCGGAAAAGGGAUUUACUGUUGACCAGAUUUCUUGGAGAAAUUUCAUAAAGGAUGCAUCUUUAUUUUCUCGUGACCAGAUGAUAUAGGUUUGAAUUGAAAGUGUGCUGUCAAGUAUACUAAACAUUAGACCAAAACGUGCGUUAAU